UUUGCCGACAGAGUUUUGUAUAUUAUCGAGGAAAUUAACAUGACAUGUGUGUAUUAUUAGUACACACUUGUUUACCGAUGGAUUUAUAAUGUUACCUACCGAUGUUGCCGUUGGUAAUCCUUAGGGCACUAGAUACACGUCUUUAUCUUUUAUGCGACAUUUUAGUUCCUUUUUCUCACUUUCUCUCUCCAUAGCCUCGCUCUCCUCAACCCAUCUCUCUUCCACGGUCGUCAGCAAUCGCCGAAGGUAGAUCCUUACUCGUUUUUAUUUGGCUUCGAUUUAUGGUCUUUAUUUUCUUUCUUUGUCGCUUUCUCUCUCCACCUUUGAGAUUGUUGGAUUUUUGAAGUCAUCUUAAUCUCAUGUAAUAAGCUUGGUUUGCAGUUUUAAUUGGUUGUUUGAAUAUGGUUUUGGCAGCAAUUAAUUGAUUUUAUGCAAAUACUGGUAUUGAUUUUAUGCAAAUUGUGGUUCUUUCCCCAUCUCUCGCUCUGCAAUUAUUUUCAGCAGUAAUAUGCCAUUUUGAUUCAAAUGAAAGCAUUACCUUUAAGAUUGAUUAUUAAUUUUUUUUUGCAAAAGGUUUCACAUAUUAGGGUUUUCGUAUUUUCAUGGCCGCAUAAUCUAAGUUGUCCAAGUUCUAUUAUAUUGUUAUUCCCUUUCUUGAACGGAGCAACUGAAUUUUUUGUUUAUUUUAUAUUUUUAACACUCUGAGUUAAACUUUUUGGUUAUAUUUGAUUUCUUAAUAUAGUGGUGGAGAUGUGCUUCUUAGUUUAAUUAAAACUUACGUCAGUGAAGAAGGUCUUAAUGAUUACAUCCUCCAUUAAUUGAUAAAGGUUGAAUUUAAACUUUUUAGUAAAAACUUUUGUGAGUGUAGAAUUUAUGUUCCAAAAUUACAAAAUGGUUAACUAAUUAAUUAUGUAAAAAAAUUGAUAGAGGUUGAAUUCAAAAGGUAUAUUCUCAAACGGGUAUUCUUUAGCAGAAAAGAUUUAAGUUUUUGUGUAAAAAUAGAUUUCAUUUGUUAAAAAUAGAUUUCAUUCUCAAAAGGGUGUUAUUAUUUAGAAUGUUAAUUUAGAAUUAACCAAAAAAAUUUUAUGUUAUGUAAGUUCUAUUAUAAUGCUCUCUGUCUGUUUUUCACAUUCUAUUGGAGAUGAUGCUCAAUUGUAGAUGAUUUGAAAGGGACUUUUAUUUUUACAUUAAGUUUAAUUAAUUAGAGGUAUGAUAAUAUUUGGGUUGUUUACUGUUUGAAAAUAAUUCUGAAACAUUUAUGGUUGGAAUGAAUUAUGAAUAUUUGUGGUGAUAUUUUGAGCAGUUUUUCAAAUAAUUUAAAGCACAUAUAAAUUGUAAAACUGUAAAUAUAAUGGUUCAAAAAAAAAAAAAUCCAACUUAUACCGAUGGAAAUUGUUAGAAAACCAUCAUAUAUGGAUGGAUUAUUGAGGAAAAUUAUCAGAAAUUAACAAUUUUCUAUGGAACUUAUUCAAAAACCAAACUAUAUCAGACAGAAUUAUUUUACAUGCUAGGAUUUAACGACGGAUUUUGGUUGUAAAUUUUUUUAAAUUUUAACAAAAAUACAGAGUGAUUUAUUGACGAUUUACUUAUCGAAAUAUUUACCAAUGGAAUACCGAUAACAUUUUGGCAACGAUUUCACAACGAUUUACCGACUACUAUUGACAAAAUACUGAUGAGAUAUCUAUUGAUAAUGACCGACAGUUUCUUAGUCGAUUGGCAAAUAUUUUACCAUCUAGCGAUCUAGCGACCGAUUUUUGUGGUCAGUGUUCCAUUCGCAUUUUCUUGAUUUUACGGUUUCUUAGUUAAUUUUUUUAUAGUGAGAUAUUCUUUUACUACAAAAGUCAAAUUUGUCUUUUUAUAUUUUUGUGUAUAAUGAGUAUAGAAUCAAAUAUCUAUACGUGUCGCAUUAUUGUACCACUUAUGAUUGUAAAAUUUAUUCUUAAUUAUUUGUGUGGCUGUUAUAAUUGCUAAAAUCAUCUUUUCAACUGUGAUAUUGUUAAUAUUCUCAGUGAUAGAUAUAUUUUUGUCAUUUGGGCAUGCCCAAUGUUAUAUGUUAUUCCACUCAUUUUAGUGAAUGGAAAAAUCGAAUGGGGCAAGUUCUACGAUGUUAAUUAAGAGUUCAAUACUUUGUUUAAUAAU
rnacentral:lncRNA from 1 species